GAGGAAAGAAGUGUGUGGGAGCUACCCAGAGAGGCUUGGCUGUUGGUCUAACUGCUGUAAGGAGGAAGUUGCUGCUGAUACUCUGAGAAGCGGUGGCAGUAUCACCAGGAGGAGCAUCACAGGCAGUGGGAAAGCAGAAGCACCAAGCCACAAAGAAAAUGAACAUCUAGCUCAGUGAAAUGGGGAGGUGCUACAACCAGAGAUGAAGACAACUCCACGAUUCAAGAUUUAGUGGUGCUUUCGACUGAGAUUGUAAGGGCUACAGCUCCAACUAAGGUGAGAGGGACACCAGAGACAGAAGAAGCAUUCCAAAAGGCGAAGGAUGCACUUUGUACACAGCCAUUGUUAUAUAC